GAGACAAGGGGAUCUUAGACGUAAAAAAGAAAAUCAAUCCCUCUCUCUAGAAGGAGCGCAACUUUCCCCUUCUUCAACAAAAAAAUCGGACCCUCCCCAUUAUGAACCUGAGCCCGUUUCACCCUGAUCUUCUUCCUUACUUCUUAAACACACAAUAAUCGGAUGACCUAACACCCAAAAAAAUUCCUAAAAGCUAAGAGGGAACGACAAACUCCUCUACAGAAAGAUCAGCCUAAUUCCUAGGCCAAAAGUGAGCUUCUCCGUGGAAACACACAAAAAAAAAAAGAGACAAAAAAAAAAAAAGCAAAGUAAAGAGAAGACAAAUACGACAGAAGAAUAGAACAAAAAGCUCACGCGAAAAUUGUUAGAAUUUGAAACUUUUUCUCUCUUAUCUCUCAAGUUUCGUUUUAUGGGUUUAGAAGAGGAACUUCUUGAAGCUGUGAUUUUGGAUUUCUGCUGAGUUUUCACUUAAUUUCAGACUUUCACUUGAUUUACUUAGCUGAUUUGGUCACAUUUAGGAUCUGAGGUAGGUACAUCUGGCUACCAGUCUGGUGCGCAUUCCUGAUCAUAGUCUGAGACUUCCACGGUACACUUCCUUGAUUUGCUUCCAUGUAAUUCCAAGUUGAAGUUGAAAUGAAAAUUGCUACCAGAUCUCUGCACUUUGGAUGCUGUCUGAUAUAGUUUAAGUGGUUUAAAUCAUUACUUGUUGUUAGUCGAUUAAGAUGGUAUUGAUUUGAGCAAUAGACUUAGUUGUAAUAAUGUGGAACGUUAAGUGAGAUUGCCCUAGGUUAAUCUGAAUUAUAUGUUGCAACUGACUGUUAGUCAGCUUAAGGAUCUCGAGUUUGUUGAUUGGGUCAGAUCGAUGAGUGUGGAAUGAAAUUGGUUGUAGCUAACUUAGUUUGUAUGUUUAGUCUAGAGUUCUCGAACUGUAGUAAUGUGAGCUGAAAUUAUCCUUCAGUUUGGCUAGUUUAUUUUUGUUCCUGAUAAUUUGAUUAUUAAAGUCAGAAGGCAGUAGAAAUAGGAAAUCACUUCGAGUUCUUGAAUUCUCAUGUGUAUUGACAGUAAACUUGCAUGAAA